CCGAAUAUCUAACAAGACCGUAAUAAAAAAAUAGAGCGGCUACAAGUACAAACUACAAACGCAAAGAAAUUCACUCAACAGUCAGGAUCUCCGGGAAUCGAACCCGCAGUCCACCUUAUCAAUAUCCGAGGAUCCCCGGGAAUCGAAUCUGCAGUCCUUCAUACCAGUACUAGAGGAUCUUCGGGAAUUGAACCCGCAGUCCUUUAUACCAAUAACAGAGGAUCUCCGGGAAUUGAACAUGCAGUCCUUUAUAUCAAUAUCAGAGGACCUUUCGAGAAUUGAACCCGCAGUCCUUUAUACCAAUAACAGAGGAUCUCCGGAAAUUAAACCCGCAGUCCUUUAUAUCAAUAUCAGAGGGUCUUCCGGGAAUUGAACCCGUAGUCCGUCAUGCCAGAAUCCGAGGAUCUCCAAGGAAUUUAACCCGUAGUCCAACAUACCAAUAACAGGGGGAUCUCGCGGGAAUUGAACCCGUAGUCCCAAACGUAAACACUUCACAACAAGUCAAUAUUUAACAGAAGAAACCAAAUAUCCACAUAGACAAGAUAGCAAAACAACAGAUCUCGCGGGAAUUGAACCCGUAGUCCCAAACGUAAACACUUCACAACAAGUCAAUAUUUAACAGAAGAAACCAAAUACAGCAACAAUGUAAAGGUCUAGGCGUAGCAUGCUCACAAAGAGGACAGGUAUUUGCAAAUUAGUCAGAUAGAGCAAAUAAAUUACUAACAUGCUAUUCCUAAGCUAAGCAAGUAGAAUCACAUAUUUUACAGUUAAAUACACGAAGAAACACAGUCUAAAUAAGUCAAGUAAGGUGAAUUUUUAGCAAUUAGCACAAGUACACGCCCGUCACCUCACGCACGAGGCCUUUAAACAACAAUUAAGAUAUCCUAAGGGGAGAGAUCCCCCACACAAGGUUAGACAAGCCACUUACCCCAAUUUGGUGCAAAACCACUAAGAAACAACGCCUUUUCCACGAGUAUCCGACUCCGAGUGGCCCAAAUCUAUUCAAACCAAUUACAUAUUGUAAAUAUCAUCGCAAGCAACUGAUUACAUUAUUAAAAUUCAAGCUAAGGUGUGAGAACAUGCAAAAUGAACAAAACCCCUCAGGCCAAAGUCUAGGAAUCGAAUAAUUUUCACAU
rnacentral:lncRNA from 1 species